rnacentral:tRNA from 1 species
GCCCAAGUGGCGAAAUUGGUAGACGCACUGUGUUCAGGUCGCAGCGCCGCGAGGCAUGCUGGUUCGAGUCCAGUCUUGGGCACCA